GCUUAGAGUUUGAUCCUGGCUCAGGAUGAACGCUGGCGGCGUGCUUAACACAUGCAAGUCGAACGGUCUCUUCGGAGAUAGUGGCGGACGGGUGAGUAACGCGUGAGAAUCUGCCUUUAGGUUCGGGACAACAGUUGGAAACGACUGCUAAUACCGAAUGUGUCGCAAGAUGAAAGAUUUAUUGCCUAAAGAUGAGCUCGCGUCUGAUUAGCUAGUUGGUGGGGUAAAAGCGUACCAAGGCGACGAUCAGUAGCUGGUCUGAGAGGAUGAUCAGCCACACUGGGACUGAGACACGGCCCAGACUCCUACGGGAGGCAGCAGUGGGGAAUUUUCCGCAAUGGGCGAAAGCCUGACGGAGCAACGCCGCGUGAGGGAGGAAGGCUUUUGGGUUGUAAACCUCUUUUAUCAAGGAAGAUAAUGACGGUACUUGAUGAAUCAGCAUCGGCUAACUCCGUGCCAGCAGCCGCGGUAAUACGGAGGAUGCAAGCGUUAUCCGGAGUAAUUGGGCGUAAAGCGUUCGUAGGUGGUUUUGCAAGUCUGCUGUUAAAGCGUGUAGCUUAACUACAUAAUGGCGGUGGAAACUGCAAAACUAGAGUGCGUUCGGGGCAGAGGGAAUUCCUGGUGUAGCGGUGAAAUGCGUAGAUAUCAGGAAGAACACCGGU
rnacentral:rRNA from 1 species